UACGUAGGGCGCAAGCGUUGUCCGGAAUUAUUGGGCGUAAAGAGCUCGUAGGUGGCGUGUCGCGUCUGCCGUGAAAGCCCAUGGCUUAACUGUGGGUCUGCGGUGGAUACGGGCAGGCUGGAGGCUGGUAGGGGCAAGCGGAAUUCCUGGUGUAGCGGUGAAAUGCGCAGAUAUCAGGAGGAACACCGGCGGCGAAGGCGGCUUGCUGGGCCAGUUCUGACGCUGAGGAGCGAAAGCGUGGGGAGCGAACAGG
rnacentral:rRNA from 1 species